rnacentral:rRNA from 1 species
AUUGAACGCUGGCGGCAGGCCUAACACAUGCAAGUCGAACGGUAACAGGAAGCAGCUUGCUGCUUCGCUGACGAGUGGCGGACGGGUGAGUAAUGUCUGGGAAACUGCCUGAUGGAGGGGGAUAACUACUGGAAACGGUAGCUAAUACCGCAUAACGUCGCAAGCCCAAAGAGGGGGACCUUAGGGCCUCUUGCCAUCGGAUGUGCCCAGGUGGGAUUAGCUUGUAGGUGGGGUAACGGCUCACCUAGGCGACGAUCCCUAGCUGGUCUGAGAGGAUGACCAGCCACACUGGAACUGAGACACGGUCCAGACGCCUACGGGAGGCAGCAGUGGGGAAUAUUGCACAAUGGGCGCAAGCCUGAUGCAGCCAUGCCGCGUGUAUGAAGAAGGCCUUCGGGUUGUAAAGUACUUUCAGCGGGGAGGAAGGGAGUAAAGUUAAUACCUUUGCUCAUUGACGUUACCCGCAGAAGAAGCACCGGCUAACUCCGUG